rnacentral:rRNA from 1 species
CCUACGGGAGGCAGCAGUGGGGAAUAUUGGGCAAUGGGCGCAAGCCUGACCCAGCAACGCCGCGUGAAGGAAGAAGGCUUUCGGGUUGUAAACUUCUUUUCUCAGGGACGAAGAAAGUGACGGUACCUGAGGAAUAAGCCACGGCUAACUACGUGCCAGCAGCCGCGGUAAUACGUAGGUGGCAAGCGUUAUCCGGAUGUACUGGGUGUAAAGGGCGUGUAGGCGGGACUGCAAGUCAGAUGUGAAAACCACGGGCUCAACCUGUGGCGUGCAUUUGAAACUGGAAUUCUUGAGUACUGGAGAGGCAGACGGAAUUCGUGGUGUAGCGGUGAAAUGCGUAGAUAUUAGGAGGAACACCGGUGGCGAAGGCAGUCUGCUGGACAGCAACUGACGCUGAGGCGCGAAAGCGUGGGGAGCAAACAGGAUUAGAUACCCGGGUAGUC